rnacentral:rRNA from 1 species
AUUGAACGCUGGCGGCAGGCCUAACACAUGCAAGUCGAGCGGUUGAAGGGAGCUUGCUCCUGGAUUCCGCGGCGGACGGGUGAGUAAUGCCUAGGAAUCUGCCUGGUAGUGGGGGAUAACGUCCGGAACUGGGCGCUAAUACCGAAUACGCCCUGAGGGAGAAAGUGGGGGAUCUUCGGACUUCACGCUAUCAGCUGAGCAUAGGUCGGAUUAGCUAGUUGGUGGGGUAAAGGCCUACCUAGGCGACGAUCCGUAACUGGUCUGAGAGGAUGAUCAGUCACACUGGAACUGAGACACGGUCCAGACUCCUACGGGAGGCAGCAGUGGGGAAUAUUGGACAAUGGGCGAAAGCCUGAUCCAGCCAUGCCGCGUGUAUGAAGAAGGUCUUCGGAUUGUAAAGCACUUUAAGUUGGGAGGAAGGGCAGUAAGUUAAUACCUUGCUGUUUUGACGUUACCAACAGAAUAAGCACCGGCUAACUUCGUG